GAUGAACGCUAGCUACAGGCUUAACACAUGCAAGUCGAGGGGUGACGAGAGGAAAGCUUGCUUUCCUUGUCGACGACCGGCGCACGGGUGAGUAACGCGUAUCCAACCUGCCCCCAACUAGGGAAUAACCUUGCGAAAGUAAGACUAAUACCCUAUAAUUUCCUCAGAUGUCAUCUGACGAGGAAUAAAGAUUUAUCGGUUGUGGAUGGGGAUGCGUCUGAUUAGCUUGUUGGCGGGGUAACGGCCCACCAAGGCAACGAUCAGUAGGGGUUCUGAGAGGAAGGUCCCCCACAUUGGAACUGAGACACGGUCCAAACUCCUACGGGAGGCAGCAGUGAGGAAUAUUGGUCAAUGGGCGGAAGCCCGAACCAGCCAAGUAGCGUGCAGGAUGACGGCCCUAUGGGUUGUAAACUGCUUUUAUACAGGAAUAAAGUUAGCCACGUGUGGUUAUUUGUAGGUACUGUAUGAAUAAGGACCGGCUAAUUCCGUGCCAGCCGCCGCUGUAA
rnacentral:rRNA from 1 species